GGUUUUCGGACCUAGAGACCGGCGCACGGGUGCGUAACGCGUAUGCAAUCUACCUUUUACAGAGGGAUAGCCCAGAGAAAUUUGGAUUAAUACCUCAUAGUAUAUUGAGUUGGCAUCAACACAAUAUUAAAGUCACAACGGUAAAAGAUGAGCAUGCGUCCCAUUAGCUAGUUGGUAAGGUAACGGCUUACCAAGGCAACGAUGGGUAGGGGUCCUGAGAGGGAGAUCCCCCACACUGGUACUGAGACACGGACCAGACUCCUACGGGAGGCAGCAGUGAGGAAUAUUGGUCAAUGGGCGCAAGCCUGAACCAGCCAUGCCGCGUGCAGGAUGAAGCAUCUAUGGUGUGUAAACUGCUUUUGUACGAGAAGAAACACUCCUACGUGUAGGAGCUUGACGGUAUCGUAAGAAUAAGGACCGGCUAACUCCGUGCCAGCAGCCGCGGUAAUACGGAGGGUCCAAGCGUUAUCCGGAAUCAUUGGGUUUAAAGGGUCCGUAGGCGGUUUUGUAAGUCAGUGGUGAAAGCCCAUCGCUCAACGGUGGAACGGCCAUUGAUACUGCAAGACUUGAAUUAUUGGGAAGCAACUAGAAUAUGUAGUGUAGCGGUGAAAUGCUUAGAGAUUACAUGGAAUACCAAUUGCGAAGGCAGGUUGCUACCAAUACAUUGACGCUGAUGGACGAAAGCGUGGGGAGCGAACAGGAUUAGAUACCCUGGUAGUCCACGCCGUAAACGAUGGAUACUAGCUGUUCGGAGCAAUCUGAGUGGCUAAGCGAAAGUGAUAAGUAUCCCACCUGGGGAGUACGUUCGCAAGAAUGAAACUC
rnacentral:rRNA from 1 species